rnacentral:tRNA from 1 species
AAGUAAUGAAGUAAAAAAUUACAUUUAGUUUCGACCUAAAAAUAGAGAUUAAAUCUCCUUACUUA